AGAUUGAACGCUGGCGGCAGGCCUAACACAUGCAAGUCGAGCGGUAGAGAGGUGCUUGCAUCUCUUGAGAGCGGCGGACGGGUGAGUAAUGCCUAGGAAUCUGCCUAGUGGUGGGGGAUAACGUUCGGAAACGGACGCUAAUACCGCAUACGUCCUACGGGAGAAAGCGGGGGACCUUCGGGCCUCGCGCCAUUAGACGAGCCUAGGUCGGAUUAGCUAGUUGGUGAGGUAAUGGCUCACCAAGGCGACGAUCCGUAACUGGUCUGAGAGGAUGAUCAGUCACACUGGAACUGAGACACGGUCCAGACCUCCUACGGGAGCAGGCAGUGGGGAAUACGUUGGACAAGUGGGACGAAAGCCUGGACUCCAGCCAUGCCGCGUGUGUAGAAGAAGGUCUUACGGAUUAGUAAAGCUAACGUUUUAAGUGGAAGGUAAGGGUUGUAAACGUUUAAGUACGUUGCUAACUUUGACGUUACGAC
rnacentral:rRNA from 1 species